CAGAAAGUGAGAAUAACUACAAUGUAAGAACAUGUAUCAUCUCUGUCUAACCGCACAACUUCCUCAUUGUCAGUCGCCGGAAAAUAAGGUGCAUUGUGAAAAACAUUAUUCCUCUCAGGAAACGGCAACGGAGGCCGCCGAUCAUCAUCGUCAAUCACUGGUACCUCCUCCUCGUGUCGCGAUAUCGAUACAUCACCGGUAAAUUGCUCAUCCCUAAUCUCCGACGAAAAUGACUGAUUCCAAUCUGAUUCCUCCAUUCUGAAGAAGAUGUAAAAAUUGUGAUUUUGGAGAAAAUUGUGGAAAGAAAUAAAUUUAAAAUUUUAAAGUGAUG
rnacentral:misc_RNA from 1 species